UGGGAUGUCAGCAUGCUUGAGCACGGACGGAGUCCGGCACCUCCUCCGAAGCCGCAAAGUGGGGGGGCUGAGGUUUUGGGAACGUGCAUUCCUACUCUACGUAGAAGUAAGAGGGAAACGGCAGGGAAACACAGAAACCCUUUCAAUUUACCUGUAUCCGCAUGUAAUGCUGUGUGUUGUAAUCCAGAUUUAUUACCCCAGAUUCUGGCCAGCGCGGCCCUCGAUACUGCAGUUAUGUCUGGUCAAGUUGGGAAGUAGUAAGUCACCGAGGACGUUGACUUUCAGCAGGGGAGAAUGUAACCGGGUGAACUGCGUAAUGUUAACUAGUGGGAGUUGCCUGCGCCCAAAAUGUUGCGCUGCCGCUUUAAGAAUUGCGCGGUCACGUAGGAGUUGGCAGCGCGGGGUUUGGAGUUAAUGCGGAAGUGGAACAAGGAAAGAAAGCGCGAAUACACGCAGUUGAGAGGAGCGGUGCUGGAAGACAGUUGUCAAUCAGUACACUGAGAAGCCUCGCGUUGAAACAAAAUACAGUGUAAUACAGUGAUGGUGUUCGACAUGCGCCCAAGGAUGACCGCGCUACGCAAUAAUUGAAACGGCGGUGCAGCAGGGGAGAGUUUGUUGCUUGUCGUGUGCGUACGGGCGAGCGCGGCACAUUAGAAGUGUGGUAGGUGAAUCGUUCAAGUGAUGUGCACUAUUUUUGUUAGCUUUGGGGAUCUCUAGUGGAGUGGUGAGUGACUAACGAAGUAUUUGUUUUUUUGUUCAGCCAGCCACUGUUGUUGUCUAUUUAUUUUGUGUUGAAUCAAUCUCACAAUUUGUCCUAUUAAUGCUGUACAAAUUUAUUUUAACUUGAUGUGCA